CUACAGGGGCUUUUAUAUGGGUCCUAUAGGGGCCUCUAUAUGGGUCCUAUAGGGGCCUCUAUAUGGGGCGUAGUGAUGGAUCCUAUAGGGGCUUCUAUAUGGGUCCUAUAGGGGCCUCUAUAUGGGGCAUAGCAAUGGGUCCUAUAGGGGCCUCUAUAUGGGGCGUAGUGAUGGAUCCUAUAGGGGCUUCUAUAUGGGUCCUAUAGGGGCCUCUAUAUGGGGUGUAGUGAUGGAUCCUAUAGGACUUCCUGCACCUAUAGCCACCUUACAGGACACAUAUAGGGUUCGUAUAUAGACCCACUUUCCCUAUAUACACCCUAUACAACAUAUAUAGGGUUUCUAUACGACCCUAUUUUACAUAUAUAUAUAUAUAUGACCCUAUAUUAUCUAUAUCCCCCCUAUAAGACACAUAUAGGGUUCCUAUAUAGAUCCACUUCCCCUAUAUACACUCUAUACAACAUAUAUGGGGUCACUAUAGGACCCUAUAUUAUCUUUACCCACCUUAUAGGGCACAUAUAGGGUUUCUAUAGGGUUCUAUACCCUAUACAACACAUAUAGGGUUCCUAUAUGACCCUAUAUUAUCUAUACCCCCCUUUUAGGGCACAUAUAGGGUUUCUAUAGGGUUCUAUACCCUAUACAACAUAUAUAGGACUCCUAUAUGACCCUAUAUUAUCUAUACCCCCCGUAUAGGGCACAUAUAGGGUUUCUAUAGGGUUCUCCUUUCCCUAUAUAUACCCUAUACAACACAUACAGGGUUCCUAUAUGACCCUAUAUUAUCUAUACCCCCCUUAUAAGACACAUAUAGGGUUCCUAUAUAGAUCCACUUCCCCUAUAUAAGACACGUAUAGGGUUUCUAUAGGGUUCUCCUAUACCUAUAUAUACCCUAUACAACAUAUAUAGGGUUCCUAUAUGACCCUAUAUUAUCUAUAACCCCUUAUAGGGCACAUAUAGGGUU
rnacentral:lncRNA from 1 species